UGCAGAUUUUUUGUCUUACAGGAAACAUUAUCUAUAAGAUACAUAAAAUCUAGUUAGGCUUCUGAGGAUAAGCUCAGGAGCAUUUCGGUUUGUAUACAAAAUGUUAAAUAGUCAAAUUUAGGCUUGAAAAUGGCCACAAUGUAUGAUUUUGUUAUAAUUUCAUCACUAUUAAUCACAUAGAAUCAAUUUACUUCAUUUAAGGGAAAAAAGCUUUUUAAUUUUAAAUAAAGCUAAGCACAUGCUAAAAUGAGUAUUAAUUAACCUGUAUUUUUUAUUGAGGUAAAAUUAUAAAUUAAAUAAAAUAUUUGUAUUGAAAAUUUUUAAAAGGAACUCGGC
rnacentral:rRNA from 1 species